rnacentral:rRNA from 1 species
UACGGAGGGUGCAAGCGUUGCUCGGAAUUAUUGGGCGUAAAGGGUAGGUAGGUGGUCUCAUUUGUCUGGGGUGAAAUUCUUGAGCUUAACUCAAGAAGUGCCUCAGAAACGGUGAGACUAGAGUUCUGGAGAGGGUCGUGGAAUUCCCGGUGUAGCGGUGAAAUGCGUAGAGAUCGGGAGGAACACCAGAGGCGAAGGCGGCGACCUGGACAGAUACUGACGCUGAGGCGCGAAAGCGUGGGGAGCAAACAGG